rnacentral:lncRNA from 1 species
GUGAUUGUUGUUGGUAUUUCUGGGGUUUUAUUUGGUGUUUUUCUUGAGUUUGGUUGGUUAUUUGGUUACUGUUCCACUGGUUGUUGCUAGAAUUUGUCCUGCUGGUUUCCAAAUCUAUUACUGGGUUAUUGCAUUACUGCUUUGUUGGUUGUUGUUGUGCUGUAUUGUUACUACUGCUACUGAUUCUCAUCGUCCUCUUCUCUUGUUUCCAAUACCAGGUACGCAACUGUAACUCUGGCUAUUGUAAGCUAAAAAAAUGUAGAAGCAUGAAUAUAUAUGAAAAAUGGAAGUUUGAAGUUUUGAUUUAG